UGCAAAAUUCGUCUCAAGGUAGUAGAUAUGGAGAAAGACCAUAGGAAAGACGGCUCUUCCUCUCCCUCUCAUUGCUACUGUUGUUAAGAUCCUGUUUCUCUUCCUAUUCCUCCUCUCUCUAUAAUUCGCCCACUUCUCUCUCUAGACCUGUCUUUCCGUGGCACCGUAGAAUAGCUGGGUUCUGAAGCAACGUUCGAGGAUUUUGUGAUGGAAAAUGGGGUUGGUAUUGUUGAUGGUUCCCUAACGGGCGAGAAGAAAAGUGUGGAAGUUGGGGUUUCUGAGGAGAGAAUAGUGGAGAGGGCUGUGGUGGACUCUGCUGAAUCGAAGGAUUUGGAUGAUGAAGAGGGUUUGGAGGAGGCAAUGAGUACCCCAAAGAUUUCCGAGGAGGAGGUGGCAGAAUCCGAUUCCGGGAAUGGUGGGUCUGGUGGUGGAAGUGGGGACGUUGAGGUGAUUGGUGAGUUGGAUUUGGGCGUGUUUGAUGGUAAUUCAAAUGCUGGACAUGAGGAUGAUGAGUUUGAGGAGGCGAGUGAUGUUCUAAGUAUGGAGGCGAGUGAGGUUCCAAGUGAGGUUCUAAGUGUGGAGGCACCAGUGAAUGUUGAAGAUAAGUUAAAUUUGGUGGUGAGUGGGCAGGUUGUUGAUGGAGCUGUGGUGGUGGAUGGGGUUGUUGAGGUAGGGACUGAAAAGGAGGUGGAGACUGAUGAAUUGAAUGGUUCAAGGGAUGAUGUGGUUUGUGAUAGUGGAGAGAAUGGCGGAGAGGGUGCAUCUGAAGUUGGUUCUGGUGGAGAGAAGCAUGUGUUGAAGGGUGAUGGUGAAUUGGAUUUAAGAUCCGGUCUAGCAAUUGAAAACUCUGAAAAUAAGGAUCUUGUUAAUUUGAAUUUGGAGCAAAAUCCCGUAGAUGAAAAAUCUGAAAAUGGGGGCGAUAAGGUGGGGGGAGUUGCCGUUGAAUCUCUUCAAGAAACUGAAUCGAAUGGGGAGAUUCUUAAUGAAGAUGGUAAUGGUGAGGAGCUGAAGGAUGAUACCUUGGGUACUGAAUGUCAAGACAGCGAGUAUGGGGAUUUUAAAGAUGCUACUGCUGUUAUUGCUCCAGGUUGUGAGGAUGAUUAUAGUGGCAUCACCAAUUGCAAUGGGAAAGCAAAAGAUGCCGAAGCUGAAAUUGAUUUUGGGUGUCAUGUAGAAACUUGUAAACCAAAAGAAACUUCAGCUGAUCAGCACACUCUCUUGGAGGGAAAUUCAGCAGUGUCUGAAAUUGGAAGAUCUUCUGUUGAGUUGUCUAAAGCAGAGAAUUCUAAAAGAAGGGAUUUUACAGCAGAGGAUAGUGAGGGUUCUCAACUUCCGCAUGCUGAUGAAAAUGAUCAUGAAGUUUCCAACAAGCAUGCUGUGGUUGAGGUGACUCCAGUGAAGGAAGAAAAUGCCGGGCAAGAUAAGCAAAGAGCUCAAGCUAAUGGAGAACCGGAGAUACAGCCAGUACCAGAGCUUGCCUCUUCAUCUGGAAGGUAUACAAAUCCAGCUCCUGCACGUCCUGCUGGCCUCGGACGUGCUGCCCCACUAUUGGAACCUGCACCCCGCAUGGUUCAGCAGCCUCGUGUGAAUGGAUCUGUUUCUCAUACGCAAACGCAACAAAUUGAGGACCCCAUUAAUGGGGAGGCUGAGGAAUAUGAUGAGACUCGUGAAAAGCUGCAGAUGAUAAGGGUGAAAUUUUUACGGCUUGCUCAUAGGCUUGGACAGACACCCCAUAAUGUUGUUGUGGCACAGGUAUUGUAUAGACUGGGGUUAGCUGAGCAGCUGCGAGGGAGAAAUGGGGGUCGUGUGGGUGCCUUUAGCUUUGACCGUGCAAGUGCAAUGGCAGAGCAACUUGAGGCAGCAGGGCAGGAACCACUGGACUUCUCAUGCACAAUUAUGGUUCUUGGGAAGACUGGAGUUGGUAAAAGUGCGACCAUCAAUUCGAUAUUUGACGAAUUUAAGUUUGGCACUGAUGCUUUUCAACUGGGUACAAAGACGGUGCAGGAUGUUGUGGGAACGGUGCAAGGAAUAAAGGUACGGGUCAUUGACACUCCGGGACUUCUCCCUUCCUUGUCGGACCAGCGCCAAAAUGAAAAGAUCCUCCAGUCUGUCAAGCGAUUUAUUCAGAAAACUCCUCCAGAUAUUGUAUUGUAUCUUGAUCGGUUGGACAUGCAGAGCAGGGAUCUUAGUGAUAUGCCACUCUUGCAUACCAUCACUGACAUAUUUGGACCAUCUAUAUGGUUCAAUGCAAUUGUGGUUUUGACUCAUGCAGCGUCUGCUCCACCUGAUGGCCCUAAUGGUACUGCUUCUAGUUAUGACAUGUUUGUGACCCAACGUUCUCACGUUGUCCAGCAAGCCAUUAGACAGGCAGCUGGAGAUAUGCGGCUUAUGAAUCCUGUUUCAUUAGUGGAGAACCAUUCCGCAUGCAGAACAAAUCGGGCUGGGCAGAGAGUACUGCCAAAUGGUCAGGUUUGGAAACCUCAUUUGUUACUUCUCUCGUUUGCAUCAAAGAUUCUGGCUGAAGCAAACACACUCUUAAAGUUGCAAGAUAGUACCACCACUGGAAAACCUUUUCCAAAUCGAACAAGAGCACCUCCUUUACCUUUCCUUCUCUCAUCCCUUCUUCAAUCAAGGCCACAGUUGAAGCUACCUGAGGAGCAGUUUGGUGGCGAGGAUGAUAUAGAUGAUGAUCUGGAUGAAUCUUCAGAUUCUGAUGAGGAAUCAGAAUUUGAUCAAUUGCCACCAUUUAAACGUUUGACAAAGUCCCAAGAGGCAAGGCUCUCUAAAGCUCAGAAGAAGGCAUAUUUUGAUGAGUUGGAAUAUAGAGAGAAGCUUUUUAUGAAGAAACAGUUGAAGGAAGAGAAACAGAGACGGAAGAUGAUGAAGAAGAUGGCUUCUUCGGCAAAGGACCUGCCUAGUGACGUAAGCGAGAAUGUAGAAGAAGAAAGUGGUAGUGCAGCAUCUGUGCCAAUUCCCUUGCCAGAUUAUGCCUUACCUGCUUCUUUUGAUUCUGAUAAUCCUAGUCAUCGGUAUCGCCAUCUUGAUUCAUCCAACCAGUGGCUUGUAAGGCCUGUUUUAGACACCCAUGGUUGGGAUCACGAUGUUGGUUAUGAGGGCAUUAACGUAGAAAGAUUGUUUGUGGUUAAAGACAAAGUACCUUUGUCUUUAUCUGGACAGGUUUCAAAGGAUAAGAAGGAUGCCAAUGUCCAACUUGAAGUAGCCAGUUCGAUAAAGCAUGGGGAAGGGAAAGCAACUUCAUUAGGUUUUGAUAUGCAGACCGUUGGAAAGGAUUUAGCUUAUACUUUACGUAGUGAGACAAGGUUUUGCAAUUUUAGGAAGAACAAGGCAACUGCUGGUCUCUCGCUUACUCUAUUGGGUGAUGCCUUAUCAGCUGGAUUGAAAGUUGAAGACAAACUGAUCGCUAAUAAACGAUUCCGGUUGGGCAUUACUGGUGGUGUGAUGGCAGCUCGUGGUGAUGUUGCUUAUGGUGGUAGUUUGGAGGCCCAGUUGAGAGAUAAGGAUCACCCUCUUGGUCGUUCUUUGUCUACUCUUGGGCUUUCUGUCAUGGAUUGGCAUGGUGACCUUGCUAUUGGUUGUAAUGUACAGUCCCAGAUCCCUAUAGGACGAACUUCAAACUUGAUUGCUCGUGUCAAUCUGAACAACAGGGGGGCAGGACAAGCCAGCAUUCGUUUGAACAGCUCGGAACAGAUUCAACUAGCUUUGGUCGGCCUCAUACCUCUUCUCAGAAAACUACACGGUCACCUUCAACAAUUGCAGUCUAGUGAAUGAUGAAUUAGGUUAUACUGAAGCAGCUUCAUCUUCGCAGGAGAUAAAUUUUAAUCGGCCACCUCUUAAUGGUCAUCAUCAGAACCAACAAAAAGAUACAGAGGGUGGUAAUGAUAUUGCCUCUUUGAUUUUGAAUGCCCACCAUCCUUGAGGAUGGUGCAGCAAUUCGAAAGGAACUCCAGAGAAAAUGGCUCUUUUCAAGGUAAUUCCCCCUAAAUUUCAUUAUUUCCUGUAACUUCUUGCUUAGAAGGAAAAAAAAAUAGUGAUCCCAUAAUGAGAACACAAACGCCCCCUACUCCUUUGUUUCAUGUACAUGGGCUAAGGCAGUCUUCUUUCUUCUAUCGAAUGCAUAACUCAUUGGUGAUAAGCAUGAGGGAAUCACUGGAAUGCUAGUCGUCUGGGAGAUUCUCAUCAGAAUAAAUUAUCCCAUUGAAGCGGCUAACUCAUGCUUAUUGUCUGGAUCUGUACAUCUUGUCCUACAACUUGUAAUAUUGUAUAUUAUAAACAAAAUUCUUUUGGUUUUUAUCCACCCCCAAGAGAGUUUAUAAACAAAUACAGAUAUUUGGUAUCGUCCUCAUUAAAUAUA